AGGCCACGGCUUGAGCGCCCGUGCGGCUCCGACAGCGGUGUUGUACUGCCACCUAGCGGCCGAGCUGGAAAACGAUGCGUCGCCCGGCGUUAAGUACGGGGUUUGAGUCAAGCUGGUUGGCUCGUCAUCGAGUCCGUCGGUCAAGCGGAGCCGUCGGUUCCCCGGCACAGGGCUCCGUUCUCAUUACAGCAGCCCUGACUAGAAGGUCACUGCGCGAGGAGGAGGACGAUGCCUCAUUCCCAGCGAAGGGGAAGGAGCACGGAGCUGGUGCUGCCUCUGGUGAGCGCUGCGGUAGCCUCCAGCUGUCAGUCAUACUCAUUUGUUCUGCCAUUGAGCUUACCGGGAUUACUGGGGUGCUUAAAGCUAAACAAAAACGCAAAUGUUUGCAAGGUGAAGGCCCAAGAGGCUUUUAAGAGCACAGGCUGUAGUUAAUUGCUUCUGCCAGGACAGAGCAGUUGGGGGCUUUUAAAACUCAACAGGACUAAUAGUAAGAGCUCCCUCUGCAGAAGUAUAGCUUGUUAUCAUAAUAUUCAGAGGAAUUAGUUGGUUCAAAGAAACUGUAGCCCGAAAGGCAUAGGCUUUAUCCUUCCGUUCAUAAUUUAAUGCUUUAUCAAACUAAUAGAUUCACAUUUAUUUGCAUUGUUCUCUCUGGGAAGUCAUUAAACAGAUUUUUGUCAGUGGAGUGCUGCGAAC
rnacentral:lncRNA from 1 species